AAUACUAUUCCUAUGAAUGAUAUUCCCGGGAUUAUAAUUUUAGUCCAUCAAACAAACACACCCUUAUUCUCCCACUUUCACGAUGUUCAACCGAAACUCGAAACAGUAACUGAAACCUACCAUGAUCCUGAAUCCAUCGCUUCUGUUUUCAUCCAAAUUGUGUACAAGGUGAAUAACAUAAGGUGCAUCGGAGGGAGGGCAAAAAAAAAAGAAUUGCAAUUGAAUCCAAGGAUGUGGAAGAAAACUCACCGUGAUGGAGCUCCGGCAGGGUGAACCAUCGGUGAAUCCAAAAGAGAUGAAAUGGAGAAUGAGAAGAUGGAAGAUACUCAGGUUCCAGAGUUGAAACUCAAGUUGCAGAGUUGAAACUCAAGUUCCAGAAUCCAUUUUCAGGUUAAAGAGAGAAUUCUGACUUAGUGGUAGGCAUGGUGGGCAAGAUAGCAAGUCACAAUGCAAGCCACAUAACAAAGUCAAGGCAUAAUGACCAAAUUUUGCAAAGCUUGAAUAAUGGAGGAAAUGGUGACCAUGGAAGAUUUAGGAAUGAUGCAAUGAUGAAGAUGUGAUGAAUAUUAGAUUUUAGGAUGAAAAAUGUGAUGGUUGACUUUGGUCAACUUGUUGACCAAAAAAUCAACUUUUGUAAAAUGUGAUUUUUUUUUGCAUUUUUCCCAUGUAAUGAACAUUUUAUGGAUGAUAAUGAAUGGAAUUGGUCAACUAAAUAAAAAAUGAAUUGAUUUUGUA